rnacentral:lncRNA from 1 species
CAAUCCAAAAAACUAACAAACUUCAUAAAAAGCUUUACCGAAUAUAGAGUGCUCCACGAUUGCAAGAUGAAAUUCAUACAAAAAUAUUGUAUAUGUUCUUUUGAUUUCAACAUUGGUUUAAGUAAUGAGAUAACCACAAAACAUACAUAAUAACACUAAUUAGGUAUACUUAAAUCUAUGGGAUAACAUUUUUGGUUAAUACUCAUUUUCUUUUUUAUUUUAUUGGUUGUUUAAAACCUUAAUCCAUCCGCCUUUUUUCUCAUUCUGUUUCUUUCUAUCUAUUGCAAAAUUGGUAAGGAUACGAUAAGGGAUACAUACACACACCCUUCAAAUAGAUCUUUGUCUUUCCUUUUUAUGUGCAUACACACAUAAAUGUUUCUGAUCUCGAACGUGUGUGUGCGUGUGUGAAAUGAGGUAUCAACGUUCAAACGAAUCUGUGUUUUGUGGUCUAUCCAAGGUAAGACUAGCUGCUACCAAGAUGUUGCUAUUCUCCUUGACAAAUGAGUUUAAAAUAUAGACCUUAGAAGUAUGUCGUUUUGUGGUAGAUUAAAACACUAAAUAAUUUGAAAGAGUACAACUUGGAGAUGUGGAUAAGAAAAAGUGAAAAACAUAAAGGAAUAGUAGUUUGAGACGUGGAUGAGUGAAAUUCACAAUAAGUUUAAGGGUAAUUGAUCAAUUAACGAAAAAGCCCCAAAAUUUUGAUCAAUUAACGAAAAAACCUAGAAUACUAGCUAAAUCUGCAAAACCGGCCACGGAGGGUUAUUCCAAAGUUUUAGCCGGUAUUCUGUCAUUUUUUAUAAACAAAAUUUAAUUUGAGAUUAAAUCGUAAAUUCGCUGAAAAUAAUGAGACUUUAUUGGAGAUUUCGCAGAUAGUUAUAACAACAUAAAAUAUCUAUUUUUUUUUUUCUAAAAAUAAGAUAACCAACAAUAUAAUAUAGACAAUCAUAUCUCUAAACACAAUCAUAUUUUUACCUAAAAGGUAAAAGAUAACUUAAAAGAAAUAGUUGAUACAAUAAAACAGACAUAUUCACAAACUUUAUUUUUAUUUUUAGUUAGCAUAGAUAAAUGGUAACAUUUUUUCAUUUAUAUAUUAAAAAUUAAAAAUGUCAAAUCAUUAAAAAAAACAAAUUGCCACUUUUUUAUAAAUUCUACAAAACGAAUUAAAAAGAGGUCUUAUUCGAUCUUAAUUCUUACACGCAUUAAGCUUUUAUUUUAGAAAAUAAAUUCAUAAUUCAUAAGCUAUUUUAUAUAACUUUUAUGAAAACUAAUUUUUUUUUUUGACAUCUUUUAAAAGUUUAUAACUAAUUUUAUGGAAAUAAAAACUAUGUUUCAGCUGUUGGUUACCAUCUACUAAAUAGUUGCCUAGCUGUCAAAAAUGCCAAUAAUCUCUUCCCAUACUUAUAUUUUUCCUAAAAGUAAACAUUUUUAACAAUAUUUUAAAUUCAAAAUAAAUUUAAAUAAUAACUAUUUUAAUUAUUAACACCAAAAAUAUAUAUAACAACUAGGAAGCAUUGAAGAAAUCCAUCCCACAUAGUUUACAGCUGCAAGGCUGCGAUUAUUCUGAGUCAACUCAUCAUCGUCCCAAGCUUCCGAAGUUGACAAGAACACGUAGUACCUUUAUUAAUAGUAUUCACACAAUUACAACCAAUACAACGGUGCUUUGGGUCCCUCCGAUGAUUUCAAGAAAACCCCACGUUAGGUAUCCUUCUUGAUCAUCUGAAAUUGUUUGAUCUUGUCUCCUUUUCAUCCUCCCAAAUCAUUUACUUUUUUCUUGAGAUUUUCAAUUUUGUUGGGUUCAUAAACAUAAACCCCCUCUAAUUCUACUCCAAAUAACUUCAUGUUUAUCUGAAAGUCCGAAACUGUAAGUUCGUUUCGUCGUUCACAUCUCACUUCUGUAUCAGAAUACAAUCACAAGUUUCGAAUUUUCGAAGACGUGUUUUAAUGGUUUUGUGAGUUGUGGAUUGAUCGAGAUUUCAGAUUAUGGGUAUUGUUUUAUUUCGAAUUUCCUAAAAGGGUAAAUGAGAUUGUUCUUCAGCUUUAUUUGGGUUUACAGUGAAUUCCCCUAUUUUUGUUUGGCCAGAAUCGGCAGUUCGCCAGAUUUUUCCUAAAAAUGUUGAUCGAAUCCAUUAAUUCUCGACUAAUUUGCUAUUUUGAGCAUUACCCUUUUCACGAUCGAGUUGAAUUUGCAAUAUUUCGCAUAUGAGUGUCCAUAAAACGAUCAAAUUUUACUCAUUUUGGUUAUUCUUGUUUCCUUUAUGACUGUUUUUCUGUUAAUUUCUGAUGAUAAAUUUGUAAUUUUUCAUGAAGGGAAGGCUAGAUUAUAUAUGAAAAUCAUCAUCAUAUCAUACUUCUGAUUAUUGCUGUUGUGAGAUACGAAAAUGGAGGGAAAAGAAAACAUAACUGAGUACAGAGAUAAACUGGACAAAACACUCAAGUCCGAUGAUCUUUGCAACGUGGAAUUUCUCAAAAAGCUUGUUGAGAAUCAACUAUCGAAAUCAUCACAACAUGAAGAUCAAGGUUUGUAUAGUUAGUUUUGACUUUAUUUCAGCUGUAUAUAUGUAUAUUGAUUGAAAUAUUUUGUAUAAAACAGAAUAUAGUGAUAAUUUAGUUCAAAAAAGAACCAAAGAAGUGGCCAAUUUCAUUGGUAUGCUUAGAAGCACUUCAGGAAGUGUCGAUGAAGUAUCACAUAAUGGUUGGAAAGUACGUUUUUUUUUUUUAAACAUUUUUCUUGAUUCUUUUCAUCUUUUAUGUCAAAUUUGUUUGUUUAUUUGUUAACAUUUCAUCUUUGUCGACAGAUAAAACACGAUAAUCAAGAUUGCCGUGUUAUGUAUAGAGAGGGGCCCACAGGGACUCCCUUUCAUUCAUUACUAGCAGAAGGAUACGUAGAUGGGCCUCUAGAUGUUUGUAAGUUUGAUCAAAAAAGAUUUGACAUAUUUGCCCUCAUGAAAUAUCUCUCUUAACAUAUAUAUUUGAAUGUAGGCAUGUGCAUAUCAUGUGAGGCAAGCCUCUACCCAAAAUGGUGAGAAAGUUUUCAACUUUUGAAACAUUUCAAGCGAAUCAUCUUUCUUUUAAAUGUUUCAAGAACGAAUGAUUUGAGACAAAAUGUGACUAAAAUGAUUGUUGUUUUUUUCAAUUAUAUGUCGAAAACUUUUCAAGAAUUUAAAUAUUUUUUUUUCAGGUGGCCUCAAUUUAAUAUCCCGACUUUUAAGGUUACAUCUUCGGAAAUUGUGAAGAAGAUUAGAAUGGGUGAACAAAUAUCUUUAGUGAGGUUUGUUAAAUUACAUAAAGUUUUAAUUUUUUUAAAACUUUGUAUAAGAUCUUUAUUCAUGGAUUUUGAUAUUUAAAUUUAUACAUAUGUGGAAGAAAGGAUGAAGCUUUCAUGGCCAUUAUCAACAAGAGAGGCUUUAGUUCAUUAUGUUACAAUUGAUUACUUCCAAGAUGGCCUCAUUAUAGUGCUCCUGAACUCGGUAAUUCCUUAUAUAUAUGUGAAUUUUCGCCCUUUUCGAAUCAACUAUGAAUUAUUUGCGAAAUGACUAAAAUACCCUUUCAGAUUUCUGAGACAGAGAUCAUUGAUAUAGACACUCAUGGGUUUACUAAAGAUGGUAUACCGGAUGUUGAAAAUGUUACUAGGAUAGAUAUUGUAGGAGGUGUUGCUAUACAAAAAGUGAGCACAAAUAGAAGCUAUUUUCGGUAAAGAUUUGUUUUUUUUUUUUCUUUAAAUUGUGAAUUCAAUUAAGAAAAAUGUUUAUAUAAGUUUUAAUUUUUGUAGGACGAUUGCAAACAUGGAUAUAAAACUUGAUUUUGUUCCUCCAACAAUUAUCAACUUUGUUUCAAGACAACUUAUAGGUAGCGGAUUUAAGCUCUAUAAAAAGGUGUAGUUUCUUUCAAGAAACUUUACAACAAAUAAACAAACAAAUUUGACAAAUCAAAUUCAUGCUAAUUGUAUUUUCAACAACAGGAAGUUGCUUCUGUGUGCAAAGGUGAUGAAGAUUUUAGCAUGGCUUUAAAAGAUCCAUGUUAUCAUCGAAUUCGUGAAGCACUUUAUUUAGAAAACAAUGAACAAAAUGAGGUUUCAAAACAAGAAGACAUUAAGAUUGUUCAUGAGAUUUUAGAACAACAAAGAGAUGAAGAUAUCAAAGAAUUGAAAACUCAAAACCCCGUUUGUGAAAUCGAGGAGAUUGAAGAAAGUGAAAAACCACAUGAAGAUAGUAAUAAUAAUGGGAAAGAAGUAAAUGAGGAUUCAAACAAAAAGAUUAUUGUUGGAAGAAAACAAGUUAUUAUAAGUCCAGAAGUGAAUCAAGCUUUAGGAACAUUGGAAAAAGUUAUUUCUAUCUUUAGAGAAAUUGGAUUCAAUCCAAGAUCCAUGUCUUUAUCCCGUUUUGCUAACAAUUUGUUUGCUGAUCUUGAAGACAAAAAGUCAAACGAUUCUAAACGUUUUGUAACACAAGUCAACGAGUCAACGUUAAAAUCCUCACAAGAAUCAAGAAAUGGUUUUGAUGAUGAUGAAGAUACACCGAGUUCUUUUUCUUUUGUUAUAAAUGAGGCGAUAACUUCAACAUUAGCAGAAAAAGAUGCCAUUAAUGGAGAGGUGAAGAACAUUGAUGAAAGUGGUAUUUCACAGAAAAAGAUGAAGAAACAAAGAUUUUGCUGCAUCAGCUUCACUUCUGGAGGUGUUGGUUGAUAGAUUGUUAUUUGAAUCUAUACGGGUUUUAUAUACGUAUAACAUAUUCAUACAUGAUACAUUUGUCUAGUGUUUUUAUAAAUAAAACUAUGGUAGGAACGAGAAUUUCUUUUCGAAAAGUUGUAACUAUAGAUUAUUGUUGUUUUUUUAUAUGUUGUAUUGUUUAGAUAUAAAAAUAUGAAAGAUUAUGAGGAAAAGUGGUUGUUUUUGUACUUUGUAUUGAUGAAAGGGGUAAUGUGCUCUGAAUAGUGGUUGUAAUGAGUCGAUCUGGGUUGGGUUCGGGUUCAACCUAUUUAUUAAUUGGGUUGAAAAUUUCAAUCUAACCCAACUUGUUUAUUUAAAUGAAUUAAUAUUUCCAACCCAAUCCAACCAAACUUUUCAGAUAAAUGGGUUGUCAUCGGGUUGACCCGUUUAUAUAGUUCUUAAUCCAACCUAUUAAAUACAUUGGUUAAACUUGGGUUGAUCAAUUUAAAAUAAAAAUAAAUAAAUUAAUUAAUUAAAGAUUACACCGUUUAAAUUAGUUAUAGAUUUAAAUAAAAUUUCAAAAGUAUAACAAAAGCACAAUCUCAAUUCAUAUAUACAAAGAAAUUGUUCAAAUAAGAUUAAAGAUAUAUAAUUUCUAAGUAAUUUUCUAGAGUAACUAGUGUUUUCGAUGUCAAGAAAAAAGAUAGGAAUUAGGAUUCCAUUUUUUUAAAAACAUAAAUAAUAAUACAAACAUUGUAAUUUAUAAAAUAAUACUUAGAUUAAUACAUGAUAAUAUUUAAAUAAUUAUUAAAUUAAAUAUAAAUUAAAGUUAAAUGGGUUGGUGAGUUAAAAACGGGUUGAUAAUUUUUACCCGACCCAACCUAUUUAAUUAAAUAGGUUAAACGAGUUGACCCAUUUAACUUAAAUGAGUUGAAAAUCUCAAUCUAACCUGCUAAUUUUGGGUUGGAUUCAAAUUAGAUUGUUGGGUUGGAUCGAUUUUUGCCGGUUCUAACUAUGAAGUUUAUAAAAGACAAACAUUUGAAUAGUGACAAGAUUGGUCCCUUACAAAGGAUUUACAGUUUGUAAAAGUUUUUUAUUUUUUUGUUUGAUAAGUGUAUCACUUUUAUACUUUCACGGUGUUUAUUUAUUAUUAUUAUUAUUAUUAUUAUUAUUAUUAUUAUUAUUAUUAUUAUGUUAUGGAUUUCAUUUCUAAACUUGUUACGGGUUUUUAACAUUAAAAGAAUGGAAGAGAGAAAUAAAACAAGGAUAAAACGGUCUUUUAUAGAUUUAAUAACUGAAUCACUAAGUCUUACCGGUAAAAAUGUGUGAAUCAUUCUGACCACUUAUUGUUACGUUGUGUAGCACACGAACAACAAUUGACACUUUGUAACUUUUUGUUUUUCAGAAGAAUUCUGAUUUAAAAAGUGUUGCACAUAUGCUGCGUGGCACAGUCUGCAGAGGUUAAAAAACAAACAAUUUUUUUAUUACAUGCUGUAGUCGUUUGAUCCCCUCUUCUAUUAUAGAGGGUUGCAAGAGGUGAUCUGCAGACUUUACACUUCGUUUCGAAAAAACUAACAUCACCUAAAUGAUUAUUUAAAGACCAGAAAAUAAAAAUCAAACUUAUGUAGCACAUAAUAGAAAGUGAUAUAUUUAUAGAAAGAAAGAAAAAAAAAAGACAAAACUACAAAAAUGGUUCUUGUGGUUUUUUAUUUUAUGUGAUUACGGUUCAAACGUUUGAAAAGUUGCAGAUUUGGUUCUUUUCAACAAGUUUUGUUGUGGUUUUGAUCCCUCAUCCGUUAAGAUCCUUAAAAAGGUAAAAUGGUCUUUUCAGAUUUAUUGGAUUGAUCAUUAAGUCUUAAGGGCCACAGACAAAAAGGUGACCAAAUAACGACUUAAAGAUGAAAAAGACAAACUAAAACUCCUGUGCAACAUGUAUAGAAAGUUAUAUAGUAUAGGGACGAAACUAAAAAAAGUGACCAAAUAUCUCUAUAUAAUAAAAACAUUAAAAAAAAGAAAAGAAAAAGAGACCAUGCUUUUGGUCCUUGUACCGUAUGCUUAUGGAAUUGUACCAACAGCUUUAAGGCUUGUACCAUUUACGGCUUAAACUUUAAAGGCAUCAAAAACACCACAAACUCGACAUGGGUUUUGCUUCAUCAGGGUUUUAGAUCGAUCUCUCUCAAAAUGUUGAGAAACCAACUCAGAACGCCAUUGACAACCUUCAUUCGGAAAACCAUACCUCAAUCCAUUUCUCUCCAAUCACUAGAAGAAACCAUAAAAAAUCAACCAAAUUUCUCUACUCCCAGUCCCUGUACCUUCAAUACUAACGCACAAACAAGGGUUUCAAGGAAUCCCCAAAUUCACCUCAUAUGGAGCUCCGAAUUUCGUGGAAAAAGUUCCGGUUUUUGUUCAUCAGCAUCUUCCACCACGUGCUGCUGGAAUUGUAAGAGUCAGGGGCCGUUUCUGAUUUGUCAAUCUUGUGGGAGCAUUCAACCUGUCGAUCAUUCAGUUGAUUACUUCAACAUUUUUGGGCUGUAAGCGUUUAAAAUGCCCUAAUACGCGUUUCUCUGAUCAAAAUUUUGAUAAACAAACUUGGAAUUUAUUUGAAUUGUUUAUAUAUGAUUCCUGAGUAAUCACCUGUUCGAAGUUCAUCGGAUUUUCGCAAUUUUCUUAGGGUUUUAGACUCCAUUAAUUAAUAUCUUCAUAUGACAGAGAUCGGAAGUUCGACAUUGAAGUUGGAAGCUUGGAAGGGAAGUAUAAAGACUGGCAGAAAAAGCUUCACCCCGAUUUAGUUCACACAAAAUCCGAGGUCUGUGAGUAACUCAUUGCUUGAAUUCGAACCAUUGUUAUUAUAUCACUUCACACAUUCGUUAUGUAGGAAGAAAGAGAGUAUGCAGCUGAACAAUCUGCUAGGGUUAUCGAUGCUUAUACUACACUUCGUAAACCAUUAUCACGAGCAAUUUACAUAGUAAGUAAAGGAUUGAUUCUAAUUUACAGUUUCACACAAAUUAACUGGUUUUGAAUCUUCUUUUUUACCUUCACAGAUGAGGCUUGAGGGUGUUGAAGUAGAUGAAGAACAAACUGUUUCAGAACCAGAAUUGUUGGGUGAGGUAAAUUUGAGAUUUUUGGUUUUUUGAAUUUUGUUGUUCCCAUUUUCAUUAUGGGACCCACAAUUGAAUUCAUGUGCUACUCCCAGAUCAUGGAAAUUAGGGAAGCCGUGGAAGAUGCCAAUGAUUCUCAAGCCCUAAACCAGAUCCAAUCCCAGGUAAUAAUGUUUGGUUUGGUAAAAAGUUACUGAUAAGCUAGAUGAUAAAUGUAUAAUGAUAUAAAAUGACAUUUUCAUAUAUAUAUAUAUAUAUAUAUAUAUAUAUAUANNNNNNNNNNNNNNNNNNNNNNNNNNNNNNNNNNNNNNNNNNNNAAAAGUGUAAAAUACACCAUUAUACUACAUAUAUAUAUAUAUAUAUAUAUAUAAUUAAAAAGUAACACAUAAGGAUAUAUUUGGAGAACUUGUGGUAAAAGCUGUAUUGGUUAUCAAUAAGUUAUGUCAAAUAAUUUUUUAAAAAGCUAGCUUUUCAGCUACUUUAACUAGCUUUUUAUUCGAUUUGUAUUUCUUGUAGAUGGAUGAAAAAUUGAGCCAUUGGUAUGAUUUUUUUGCAAAUGCUUUUCAAAGUAAAGAGUAUGAUGAUGCUAUAAAAUCAAUCCAAAGAAUGACAUACUACCAACGGGUGAAGGAAGAGACUGUUAAGAAGCUCUAGAUUCAUGUUUUUGCCUUUCAAAUGGGCUUCAAGAUAUCAAGAAAAACAAAAGAAAAUUAAAGUGAGUAAAGAGGAUGCUGGAUGCAUGCUUAAGUUUUUUUUUCCCUUUCAUGUCCACAAACAUGGCUUACGAUAAAUUUACUAUUGAGGGUAUUUUGGUCUUUUCAACCAUUCAAAGAGCAAAGUGAAUUAAUUCGACAAUCAUUGUAUUUGGUUUGUUCUGUAUUUUGUAAGAAUUUAAGAACAAUUGAUUUUGAAUAAAUUAUAGAAAUGGAUCAACCUUUACAUUAUUUUCAUAUUUUGUAAGAAAAAAACUAUAAAACUUGGAUGUAUGAUUUUGAAAAAAAUAUGAGGGCAGUAGCUCAAUAAAAGAAACUUAAAGGGUUGUGAAGUUAAACCUCAAAACUUUAGGGGCUGAUUUGCAAUUUAUAAGAAAAUAUUCUUUGGCGAAAAGAAAGCGCCUGGUUGGUUUCUGUUGAUAUAAACCGACGUUUCUGGAUUGUGCGAGAAGCAAAAGAGAAGGAAACAUGGGUUGGGUAUGGAAGGACGACGACGAUGAUCAGAACUCCGGUGAAAUCACCGAAUUCAAAGAUUUGAACCCUAGAUCUGAUGCUGGGUCCUCGACGAGGAAGAUUAUCUCUUCCCAGUGCAGAACGGAGGAGGUAGAGCCUGGUAAAUUCAUCAGAAAAUGCGAGAAAACCGAGCAACUUCUCAGAGACUCCGUUGGAAGGUAAUUCCUUUUAAUUAUAGUUUCACUUCCGUUUUCCGAUAUCAUUGUUCUUGAUGAAUAUGAUUUUUAGCCAUCAUCUGUUUGAUUUGUGAUUUUGGUAGUUAGGGUUUUAUUCGUACACGUUCUGCUGUUAAUCUAGCUAUAAUCUGUUUUAAGCUAUACAAUCACCGAGAAAUUGAAGGCGUGGAAAGAUUGAAUUUAGGACAAUCACACUAUAGUUUUGAGUUUUGAUAUGAUACCUUUUCCAUUAUCUGUUCAGACGAUCUGAAGUGGUGCAAUCUAACAAGGAAUACACAGAAGAAGAUGUGACUGAACAGAUGACAAAAGGAUCUUUUUUCCCCAUUCAGUCAUCACAACAACCUGCUACACCAUUUGAUUUCCCUGGGUUACGCACUGAUAUAGAAGCAAUUGAACGAAGUCUGUUUGGGAACAUGAAUCGUUUCUUCGAGGCUGCUGAAGGGCUUUUUGGUCUUUUCGGGGGUUCUCCUCAGCUACACCAAGGAGAAGGAGAUUCAAAAUCCAUUUUUGGGUCUACUUCUCCUCCUUCUAGUCUGUAUGAUGGGUAUUCCAAAUCUUCAGAAUCGACUGUACCCAUUCAGUCUCACCCUCCUAAAGCUGUUAAGCCCAACACAGGUGAUGGAGAUGUUGAUCUUUCGGGUUUGGCAAGAGAUGUUUGAAUGAUAUGGUAUGAUAAAAUCUUGAUGGUUGAGUAAGGUUUUUGAUCAAACUUUAUAAAAACAUUCAUAAGCUAGUAUAGCUAUGAUCUCGUUUUUAUGUCUCUUUCUGCUGUUGAUGUUUGUUGGACGCGUUUUAAAUGAUAUAUAGAUUUGUGGUUUUUUAAUUGUUUUAUGUGGAAAUCAAAAGUCAAAAGUCAAAAGUCAAAAGUCAAGGGUAUAGUGAUGAAUUAUGAUUAUGAUCCACUUUGUGU